rnacentral:rRNA from 1 species
AUUGAACGCUGGCGGCAGGCCUAACACAUGCAAGUCGAACGAGUGGCGGAGGGGGGAGGAAAGACUGGGAAACUGCCUGAUGGAGGGGGAUAACUACUGGAAACGGUAGCUAAGAAAGUAGACCAUCGGAUGUGCCCAGAUGGGAUUAGCUAGUAGGUGGGGUAAAGGCUCACCUAGGCGACGUGCACAAGCUGGUCUGAGAGGAUGACCAGCCACACUGGAACUGAGGCACGGUCCAGACUCCUACGGGAGGCAUCAGUGGUGAAUAUUGCACAAUGGGCGCAAGCCUGAUGCAGCCCUGCCGCGUGUAUGACGAAGUCCUUCGGGUUGUAAAGUACUUUCAGCGGGGAGGCGUUACCCGCAGCAUCCGCCCCGGCUAACUCCGUGCCAGCAGCCGCGGUUAUUC